AAGAAACCAAAUUUUAAGGGUAAGCUAAGUAAGAUCCAAGCCAAAGUGAAGGUGUAUGAAAAUACGUAAAGGUGUGCAUUGUGAAUGUACAAAAAUAGUGUCUUAUUGCUGUUAGGAUGCAAGAACAAUGAAAAUGAUUACCUAAGUUACGCCACUUCACAAAUGAUACUUCAAUAGAUAUCUUAUUGUCUAGUAGCUCUUCAUACUGCCUAUCAACUGUGGAUACUGUGACUCAAGAGCUCAAUAAUUUGUUUUUGUAUUCCGUAGUCCAGCAUUUUGUGGAAAAGUGUUUUGUUGCUGGUCAUAGUUUAGGUACUUUGAUUCUUUUUUAUAUUCUUUCAAACCAAAACUUUAAUGAUUGCAGCAAAGAAAGGGCAAAACCUGAAGUUCUUGAAAGCUUUGAAAGUAACCAGCAAGAAUUAGAAAGCUUUGAAGAUCUUGAACAUCUUUUAAGAACUUUGAAUUUAGCAGAAUAUUUAGAUACUUUUAAUGAGGACGAAAUUAGUUUAUCAACACUGGUGAGGGUUGACCGAAAAGUUUUCCUCUUUAAUGUGAAAACUAAUUCAUGUUAUUCAUAGGUGGUGUAUUUAGCUUCAACCAAAUUUGAAAGUUCUUUAUCUAUAUUUUAGUUCUUUUUAUCGGAUGAAGAUUAGAAGAACAUGGGCUUACCUAUUGGUCCGGGUCGAAAAUUGAUGAAUGCUGUUAAGAAAAAUUGAUGCUUUUUUAUGUAGUAUUUUUUUUUAUAAAAUAACUAAUUUUUUUAAAUCAUAGCUUUUAAUACAUAACAUAAUUUGCAUUUGCUGAAAACUCCAAUAAUAGCAGUAAAACUUACAUUUUUAAAAAUUGUUUUUUUUUUUUAAUUUUAUAUUUAACUCUUAAAAUGAGUUUAAACCUUUCAAUAUGGUUUAUUCAUAGGAUUAUAUACCAUCAUUUGGUUAUAAAUUAUGUCUCUUAAAUUAUAUUAGCAUAUUUGCUAAAUUAUUUUUUAAUUUUUUCCUAUAUCUUAUGUAGUUAGCUUUUGUGGUGUUUGUGAAUUUUGUUUUCAUUUGUUUAAAAUCAUUACAUAUGUUUAUGCUUUAUUUGACCUUUCACAUAAAAAUGCAAUAUCUUUUUUUAGAAAUUUUUUGUUGAAAUUUCGGCUACAAUAUCAAUAAAAUUUUAUAUGAAAUUGAACACUCAACUAUUGCAAUGUAACUGUUUAAGAAAAAUUUCUUGAUAUAUAUUUACUUUGUUUAUAUGUAUUUUUUCAUUUUGUGUGCUACCAAAUUAUGCAUGCCCUACAAUUUCUGUUAGAUUUAAUUCUUUAUGUGCUUCAUUAAAACUAUUAAAAUGUAAAUUAAAUAAGUUUUGAAUUGAAAAAUUAUUGCAAUAUGAGCAAGAGUUUUAAUUUUCUUAUUUUCACCUAAAACAUUUAAUGGUCACAUGAUCAACCAUUUUAUCGAUUGAUUGAUUUUAGCAAAAAGUUAGAAAGUCCUUUUAAAGUUUCUAAAUUUAUUUAAUUUCAAGCAAAGUAUUGUUAGUUUUAUUUAAUUCUUGUUGUCGUAUUGAUAACAGUUCACUUAAUUCUUUUUUAUCCAACUAAUCUAAAAUUUUGCGAUUGGAUUCAAUCCAAGGGAGUAAGCUGAUCAAUCCAUAAUUUAAUUAUAUUUUUAGGUAGAGCUAGCUGCCAGUGCUUGCACUAGAGUGUAUGGAUGUGUUGUCGUGUUGCCAAAACAAGCUUAGAUUUCCUAUUCUUCUUCGAAAACGUUUUAAGUUUGUCCUGUAGAACUUUUUGAGAGUAGUCCUUGUUAUCCAUUUUAUGUGAAGUAAAGGCUAAAUUUAGUUUACCUUGUUUACUGUAGGCUUGCCAGGAUAAUUUUUUCUUUCGACAAAUCCCUCCUAUAAUAUGAGUAUCCAUCUGGGCAUUUUAUAAAUUAAAAUUUUGGUCACUAAAAAUAACCUGUAAUGAAAAUUACUAAUUUUGAGAAUAGUGGUUUCAUCGCAACGAAAAUUGUUAGUUUAAUAUUUAUUAGUGAUUAAUUACCAUUCUUGUUUUUUUUUCUUCAAAAAUUUAAUCUUGUGACUUUAUGAUGAGGUUUCUGACUUUCCCUUUAUUGCUCAGAGAACUGAAUCCUUUAAAACAUCUAGGUUGAAUUUUGUUCAUACUUCAAACAUUGACUUAUUUGACACUGUUUGAAUAUUUUUUUUUUCUUCCCAAUGAAAAAGAUUUUGAGGAUGCCCUGUAUAUUUAUUCAACACUUAGAUAUACUGUUUAGUUAAAAUGUAAAUUGCGCCAAUUAAAUGUUUUAGAAUGUACAUAUACUCUAAAGUGCAGUCAUCUGACCUUUCUCUAGGUCAGACAGCUGAGUUUCGUAGGGCAUGAAAUAAAAUUGAAAUUUCAAUAUCAAAAUAAGAGCAGAAUAUAUAUAUUUUUGUGAUUUUUUUUCCUUCAUAUUUGUAUGAUGCAGCUAAAAUCAAAAUAAAUAAUUUGCAGUCUCACA